ACGAACGCUGGCGGCAUGCCUAACACAUGCAAGUCGAACGAGACCUUCGGGUCUAGUGGCGCACGGGUGCGUAACGCGUGGGAACCUGCCCUUAGGUUCGGAAUAACUCCCCGAAAGGGGUGCUAAUACCGGAUAAUGUCUUCGGACCAAAGAUUUAUCGCCUUUGGAUGGGCCCGCGUUGGAUUAGCUAGUUGGUAGGGUAAAAGCCUACCAAGGCGACGAUCCAUAGCUGGUCUGAGAGGAUGAUCAGCCACACUGGGACUGAGACACGGCCCAGACUCCUACGGGAGGCAGCAGUGGGGAAUAUUGGACAAUGGGCGAAAGCCUGAUCCAGCAAUGCCGCGUGAGUGAUGAAGGCCUUAGGGUUGUAAAGCUCUUUUGCCCGGGAUGAUAAUGACAGUACCGGGAGAAUAAGCUCCGGCUAACUCCGUG
rnacentral:rRNA from 1 species